UAGGUUGAGGAGGCAGUGACCAUGGCGGUGUAGGUGGAAGCGGCAGUGGAGGAGGAGGAUAAAGUAGCCAACACUGUUUUUUAUUUAUAUAUUUUUUUAAUUGGGGUAGGCUCCAAAAUAUUGGGACAUAUAAAAAAAGACAACUCUGUUCCGCAGAGUAGCUGUUGACAUUAUAGUUGCGCAGGCACUUUGUUGACUCUAGAGAACCUCGGGCCAAUCGCACAUCCUGCGACGGCGACUUUGCAUUCGGAUGCCAUCCAUAUCAACUUUCGAUGCCAGUUUCUGUGCCUACCAUGGUGACCACGGGUAACAGGGAAUCAGGGUUCCAUUCCGUACAGGACCCUGAGAAACCCACUCCCGACGCGUGAAGGUAGUGAUGACAAAUAACAAUACAGGACUCUUUAGAGGCCCUGUAAUUGUAAUGAGUCCACUUGAAAUCCUUUAAAUCUGAUCAAUUGGAGGGAAGUCUGGUGCAGAGCCACUGACCCGUGCGUGCUGCUCGCACAGUCUCAU